UACAGAGGGUGCAAGCGUUAAUCGGAAUUACUGGGCGUAAAGCGUGCGUAGACGGUUAUGUAAGUCAGGUGUGAAAGCCCCGGGCUCAACCUGGGAAUUGCAUUUGAGACUGCAUAGCUAGGGUGCGGAAGAGGGAAGCGGAAUUUCCGGUGUAGCGGUGAAAUGCGUAGAUAUCGGAAGGAACACCAGUGGCGAAAGCGGCUUCCUGGUCCAGCACCGACGUCAGGCACGAAAGCGUGGGGAGCAAACAGG
rnacentral:rRNA from 1 species